rnacentral:rRNA from 1 species
CAGUCGUACCUUCGGGUAAUCAGCCUUUCGGGUGCGAUUCUGUGGAGUGUGAUGAGCUUAACACCUUCAUGCUUUGCAUAUUUGUGCUCUUGGGUGUACUUGCCCGUGUGGUUGGUUAACAUCAAUUUUGGUUAUCAUAAAAUGAUUGGAGGAAUGUAGCUUCGAUCUCGUAUUGAAGUGUUAUAGCCUUCGGUAGAUGUGAUGAACGAGAUUGAGGAUUGCAACGGAUACCCUUCGGGGCUACCUGUCUGGUCUCUGAUCGUUGCUCUGGUGCCGAAAGCUUGCUUACGGUCAUCAAAGUCGAUGGUCAAUAGGUUAGAACGGGUUAAA